UACGUAGGGUGCAAGCGUUAAUCGGAAUUACUGGGCGUAAAGCGUGCGCAGGCGGUUCGUUAAGUCAGAUGUGAAAGCCCCGAGCUCAACUUGGGAACUGCAUUUGAAACUGGCGGGCUGGAGUGUGGCAGAGGGGGGUGGAAUUCCACGUGUAGCAGUGAAAUGCGUAGAGAUGUGGAGGAAUACCGAUGGCGAAGGCGGGUCUCUGGGCCGAUACUGACGCUGAGGAGCGAAAGCGUGGGGAGCGAACAGG
rnacentral:rRNA from 1 species